GCUUUGGAAUGCUGUGAUUUUUGGCCCUGAUGACACUCCUUGGGAUGGAGGUGAGUAAUAUUUGCUCUAAAGCUUAUGCUUGAGGAAGGGAUGUUCCAAAAGGGUGAACUCAUAUGACUUGCAGCAUGCUUGUUCUUAAUUGUUGCAUUUUGGAUUUUUUUGGGCUUUGUUAGAGUAUCAUGUUGUGCUUCAGGUGUAAUUUGUACUGUAUUCAUGCUCCUUUUUGUUGGAUUUCACAUGUCUAAUUUAUUUUUGUUGUUGGACUUUGAACAUUCUUUUUCCUUUUUCGUAAGCAUUAGAAAAGUUCAAUUACAUUAAGAUAUUGCUUUGCAUGCAUGUUUAGAUUUAUCAUUUUAUUAGUGACAAUUGAGCUUCCUGGUCUUAAAAAACAAAAAAUUCCCUCUUUAAUGAAGUUGGAUUGUUUUCUUGCCUAUAUAAGUCUUACAUAUGAAGUUGGUAAGAAAUGAUGUAACUGCAUAGAAUAUGGGAAGACAAUAGGCUUCUUAUACAUGACUAUUUGAGAUCAGCCAGCCACUCAAGGCAUAAAUCCCAGUGUGAGAGGAGUUGUUGGUGCUAGCAAAUCUUGAAGUUAAUUGGCUUUAUCAUUAGUUUUGUGGAAUUAUGGUCCAUCUUUUUACCCCAUAUUGAUAGUUUGUUCUGUCCAACACAUUAGAAACAUCCUUUUGUUGUUAAUACCCCAUAUAUUUGAAGUUAAGGGUUUAUGAGAAUGGUACAGAUGCAUGCUUACAUACUUAUGUAGACUUUGGUUUCUUCCAUAUGACCCUAGGGCAUGGAAGUUAGAUAGGCCUUAAAUUUAGAAAGAGGGCAGCCAUUUUGUACUGCCAAUGUUAACUUCUGACAUGGAAGUCUUUUGUUAUUCUUGUAGACUUGUUUUUCUGCGAUAUAAGUAUAAAACUAGUCCAUCCACAGAAUUUAGAUAGCCCUUACUGUUAGAAAAUGGAAAGCCAGAUAAGCCAUUGUACCUAUUAAUCUUAAGCUUUAUGAUGGUCAAGUGAUGUAAAUUCAGGCUUUAAUGUUUCUAUCAGUGUUGUGUACGUAUCUGGUGCUUGUGCUUGCUUGCUUUUAUAUGCAAGUCUUGCCUCCUAGAUUUUACUAGUUUGAUGAUAAUAAAGAUAAAAUUUCCUUUUACAACGUCAGCUGAUGUGGGAGGAUAUUUA
rnacentral:misc_RNA from 1 species